rnacentral:rRNA from 1 species
AGGAUGAACGCUGGCGGUAUGCUUUACACAUGCAAGUCGUACGCAAGUUUACUUGAGUGGCGGACGGGUGAGUAACACGUGAGAAUUCACCUUUAGGUGGGGAAUAACUUUUGGAAACGAUAGCUAAUGCCCCAUAUACUCGCAAGAGAGAAAAGAGUAAUCUGCCUAGAGAGAAGCUCGCGGCUGAUUAGCUAGUUGGUAAGGUAAUGGCUUACCAAGGCGACGAUCAGUAGCUGGUUUGAGAGAACGAUCAGCCACACUGGAACUGAGACACGGUCCAGACUCCUACGGGAGGCAGCAGUGGGGAAUUUUGCGCAAUGGGGGAAACCCUGACGCAGCAACGCCGCGUGGAGGAUGAAGUCCCUUGGGACGUAAACUCCUUUCGACCGGGAAGAUGAUGACGGUACCGGUGGAAGAAGCCCCGGCUAACUUCGCGCUAGCAGCCGC